rnacentral:ncRNA from 1 species
GGGUGCAGGGGUAGACGCUCCUGCAGGUAUUGAGAUGGUCGGGCCGCCAUCC